UAAAGUUUACCAUUGAAUUCGAGCAAUCUGAGAUGUUUACCAGAGGCAUCCGGUAUGUCGACAACCGGCAUUUUGGACUAGCUAAAACAGGUGAAAUUAUGCCAGUUUAAUAUGGAUGAGAUUCGAGGAAGCCAAUACAAUGAAUAAUUCAUACAAAGGUUUUAUACAGAUAAAAUUGUAUUGUUUACAACAGUAGCAAAGGAGAGGGAGUAUUUUGCUGUGCUACUUAAAUGCAUCAGGAUUUAGAAGACUGUACAAAAUUUGAGCAAUAUAUCCGCCAAGCCACAGAUGAUAACGAUUGCUUCUUUUGGAUUACGACCGGGUUAAUGUAGACGGUAAUAUUGAUGACACAUCAUUUCAGCAUUGGGUGA